UAAGGGCUCACCAAGGCGACGAUCCCUAGCUGGUCUGAGAGGAUGAUCAGCCACACUGGAACUGAGACACGGUCCAGACUCCUACGGGAGGCAGCAGUGGGGAAUAUUGCACAAUGGGCGCAAGCCUGAUGCAGCCAUGCCGCGUGUAUGAAGAAGGCCUUCGGGUUGUAAAGUACUUUCAGCAGUGAGGAAGGUGGUGUAGUUAAUAGCAUCAUCAUUUGACGUUAGCUGCAGAAGAAGCACCGGCUAACUCCGUGCCAGCAGCCGCGGUAAUACGGAGGGUGCGAGCGUUAAUCGGAAUUACUGGGCGUAAAGCGCAUGCAGGUGGUUUGUUAAGUCAGAUGUGAAAGCCCGGGGCUCAACCUCGGAAUUGCAUUUGAAACUGGCAGACUAGAGUACUGUAGAGGGGGUAGAAAUUUCAGGUGU
rnacentral:rRNA from 1 species